rnacentral:rRNA from 1 species
GAGGAAUAUUGCGCAAUGGAGGAAACUCUGACGCAGCGACGCCGCGUGAAGGAUGAAGGCCCUCUGGGUUGUAAACUUCUGUAGAGUGGGAAGAAUUUCCGCUUCUUGCGGAUUGACGGUACCACUAAAGUAAGGGUCGGCUAACUACGUGCCAGCAGCCGCGGUAAUACGUAGGACCCGAGCGUUGUCCGGAAUCACUGGGUGUAAAGGGAGCGCAGGCGGACUUGCAAGUCGAUGGUGAAAUCUUACGGCUCAACCGGAAAACUGCCGUCGAUACUGCUUGUCUGGAGUGUGGAAGAGGGUGGCAGAAUUCAUGGUGUAGCGGUGAAAUGCGUAGAUAUCAUGAGGAAUACCGGUCGCGAAGGCGGCCACCUGGUCCAUUACUGACGCUCAUGCUCGAAAGCGUGGGGAGCAAAC